CCUACGGGAGGCUGCAGUAGGGAAUCUUCCACAAUGGGCGAAAGCCUGAUGGAGCAACGCCGCGUGGGUGAAGAAGGUCUUCGGAUCGUAAAACACUGUUGUUAGAGAAGAAAGCGUGUGAGAGUAACUGUUCACGUAUCGACGGUAUCUAACCAGAAAGCCACGGCUAACUACGUGCCAGCAGCCGCGGUAAUACGUAGGUGGCAAGCGUUAACCGGAAUUAGUGGGCGUAAAGGGAACGCAGGCGGUCUGUUAAGUCUGAUGUGAAAGCCUUCGGCUUAACCGGAGUAGUGCAUUGGAAACUGGGAGACUUGAGUGCAGAAGAGGAGAGUGGAACUCCAUGUGUAGCGGUGAAAUGCGUAGAUAUAUGGAAGAACACCAGUGGCGAAAGCGGCUCUCUGGUCUGUAACUGACGCUGAGGUUCGAAAGCGUGGGUAGCAAACAGGAUUAGAUACCCGUGUAGUC
rnacentral:rRNA from 1 species